rnacentral:rRNA from 1 species
GGUGGCCUACGGGGCGCAGCAGUAGGGAAUUUUCGUCAAUGGGCGCAAGCCUGAACGAGCAAUGCCGCGUGAACGAGGAAGGUCUUCGGAUCGUAAAGUUCUGUUGAAGGGGUAAAAGAGCGGAGAGAGGAAAUGAACUCCGAUUGAUAUUACCCUUCGAGGAAGUAACGGCUAACUACGUGCCAGCAGCCGCGGGAAUACGGAGGAUGCGAGCGUUAUCCGGAUUUAUUGGGUUUA